GGGGGGCAAGUGUCCCUGGUGGGCACCUUGGGCUUCAAACCCACAGAAUGGCUAGGUGUUUAGUCAUUGAGGAGUUCGAUUCUUCUGCCCUCC
rnacentral:tRNA from 1 species